AUUGAACGCUGGCGGCAGGCCUAACACAUGCAAGUCGAACGAGUGGCGGACGGGUGAGUAAUGUCUGGGAAACUGCCUGAUGGAGGGGGAUAACUACUUGAAACGGUAGCUAAUACCGCAUACCAUCAGAUUUGCCCAGCUGGGAUUAGCUAGUUGGUGGGGUAACGGCUCACCAAGGCGACGAUCCCUAGCUGGUCUGCGAGGAUGACCAGACACACUGGGACUGAGACACGGUCCAGACUGCUACGGGAGGCAGCAGUGGGGAAUAUUGCACAAUGGGCGCAAGCCUGAUGCAGCCAUGCCGCGUGUAUGAAGAAGGCCGUAGGGUUGUAAAGUACUUUCAGCGGGGAGGCGUUACCCGCAGAAGAAGCACCGGCUAACUCCGUGCCAGCAGCCGCGGUAAUUC
rnacentral:rRNA from 1 species